AACGCGAAGAACCUUACCUACCCUUGACAUGGCAGGAACUCCGCAGAGAUGUGGAGGUGCCCGAAAGGGAACCUGCGCACAUGUGCUGCAUGGCUGUCGUCAGCUCGUGUCGCGAGAUGUUGGGUUAAGUCCCGCAACGAGCGCAACCCUUGUCAUUAGCUGCUACGAAAGGGCACUCUAAUGAGACUGCCGGUGACAAACCGGAGGAAGGUGGGGAUGACGUCAGGUCCUCAUGGCCCUUAUGGGUAGGGCUACACACGUCAUACAAUGGCCGGUACAGAGGGUUGCCAACCCGCGAGGGGGAGCCAAUCCCAGAAAACCGGUCGUAGUCCGGAUUGCAGUCUGCAACUCGACUGCAUGAAGUCGGAAUCGCUAGUAAUCGCGGAUCAGCUUGCCGCGGUGAAUACGUUCCCGGGUCUUGUACACACGC
rnacentral:rRNA from 1 species